rnacentral:rRNA from 1 species
GACGAACGCUGGCGGCGUGCUUAACACAUGCAAGUCGAACGGAAAGGCCCUGCUUUUGUGGGUUGCUCGAGUGGCGAACGGGUGAGUAACACGCGAGUAACCUGCCCUUGACUUUGGGAUAACUUCAGGAAACUGGGGCUAAUAUCCGAUAGGAGCUCCUGCUGCAUGGUGGGGGUUGGAAAGUUUCGGCGGUUGGGGAUGGUCUCGCGGCUUCUCAGCUUGUUGGUGGGGUAGUGGCUUACCAAGGAUUUGACGGGUAGACGGCCUGAGAGGGUGACGGGCCACAUUGGGACUGCGGUAGGGAGCAGACGACUACGGGAGGCAGCAGUGGGGAAUAUUGCACAGCGGCCGGAAGCGUGAUGCAGCAACGCCGCGUGCGGGAUGACGACUUACGAGUGGUAAACCGAUUUGGCCUGUAACGAAGAGGGAGUGACGGUACUGGGUAAAGAAGCACCGGCUAACUACGUG